UUCACCAUUGUUCUGCACAUAUGUGCUUGCAUACAAGUGUCCAGUGGUUAUAUUCAUGAGGCAUUCAAGGGACUUGUACUAAAAGAUACAACUCAGUUCAGUAUGAAUUGCAUAUUUUAAUGGCUGAAAAUAUAUCUGAUCUCUUUCAGAACAUCACCUGUCUGUAAUCCACCUGCUUAAGUUCUGGUCAAGGGGCUCAUCGGCUAUCAAAUUAUAGAUUUCAGUGGCUAAUAGAAGACACUGCUGAGGUCAGACGAGAGUGCAUCCUCAAAGGUCUGUGUGUACCUAAAUGAAGAUCCAGAGAAGCUGGUGAGGGAGUACAUGGACGUUGAUGAAUGUGCAGAAAUGGCCAAAGCCGAGACUGUCCUCGGAAUCGUCAUUUGAGCAGAGGGUGCAGAGGCUGCCGAUGCACAUCUGGAUGUUGGGAUUGUCCUGGAGGGGGUGGAAGUUAUGAACAGCUUGGGCAGUGUAUCUUCUGCAAUAGUGAUGCUGCUGGGACUAAUCUACGCACUAAACUUGAGCUACCCUCAA